CCUACGGGGGGCAGCAGUAAGGAAUAUUGGACAAUGGUCGAAAGACUGAUCCAGCCAUGCCGCGUGAAGGAUGAAGGCCCUAUGGGUUGUAAACUUCUUUUGUACGGGAAAAAACCCUCGCUCGUGAGCGAGGCUGAUUGUACUGUAAGAAUAAGGAUCGGCUAACUCCGUGCCAGCAGCCGCGGUAAUACGGAGGAUCCAAGCGUUAUCCGGAUUCAUUGGGUUGAAAGGGGAAGUGUACGGAAGUGGUGAAAUCUCUCGGCUGAACCUAGAAACUGCCAUUGAUACUGCAAAUCUUGAGUACAUUUGAUGUGGGCGGAAUGUGUCAUGUAGCGGUGAAAUGCUUAGAUAUGACACAGAACACCGAUUGCGAAGGCAGCUCACAAAACUGUAACUGACGCUGAGGCACGAAAGCGUGGGUAUCAAACAGGAUUAGAUACCCCAGUAGUC
rnacentral:rRNA from 1 species